UACGGAGGGUGCAAGCGUUGUCCGGAAUCAUUGGGCGUAAAGCGCGUGUAGGCGGCCCGAUAAGUCCGCUGUGAAAGUCCAGGGCUCAACCCUGGGAUGCCGGUGGAUACUGUCGGGCUCGAGUCCGGAAGAGGCGAGUGGAAUUCCUGGUGUAGCGGUGAAAUGCGCAGAUAUCAGGAGGAACACCAAUGGCGAAGGCAGCUCGCUGGGACGUGACUGACGCUGAGACGCGAAAGCGUGGGGAGCAAACAGG
rnacentral:rRNA from 1 species